rnacentral:lncRNA from 1 species
CGAUUACAAUUCAUUUAUCAAUAACAAAUUAUUAAAUUAAUUAUUCACAAAUUAUUUGUCAGUCACACCUUAAUAAAUUGUGAGUCAAAAAUCAUAUUUUUUAAUUCACAUUAUGUAUUGAUCACAAAUUAUUCAAAGUCUUGGUCAAAGACUGGUCACUGUCGCCAUUACUAUUGCCAUCGCAUGCACCAUAAUCAUUUGUGAUCACCGCCUCACCAUUGCCAACAAGGCCAGAUCCACCAGCACACCACCUUACCAGCGCCAUUGCCAACAAAAAACACCCCCCAUAACUAACGAAAUCCGACCACCUCUGCCAACAUCAACGACGCCGUCGCCACCAACCCCACCUGCUGAACCACCAUCUCUAAUGACACGAUCGCCUUCAUUACCUCAACACAACUAUUUGCAGUACCACGUUCACCACCACAAAAUCAUCAAAACAUGAAAACUAUUACAGCCCAUCCAACCGAAAAAAAAAAAACAUCACCACUGCUGUAGCCACAAUCUGCACCAUCACUGCCAUGAUUUGUGCCCCUGCGGCCGUGAUCUGUGCCAUCAAGCCUCCACCGAUGCUCACAGAGAACGAAUGGCUUUACCUAUGAUUUGUAGAGCCUUCGGCGAUCUGGGCCUCCAACGAUUCUGUUAUCACCUACGGCGGCGCAUCUGCUACCACUAAUAUCACAGGAAGCAAUGCCACCCAUAGCCACACCUCACUUGUGUCGUCGCACAGAGGCUGAGCGACAUUGGUAGCGUCACCUGCGUUUAUCCAUUGUGUGUAAAGAGAGAGAUGGGAUUGGGAGAGAGAAUGAGGUGGGGGGCGGGGGAGAGAGAUGGCUGCUGUUUUGCAUAGAAAGAGAGAAGAUAUUGAGAAAUAAU